UGAGCUUUGAAGAAGUUAAAUAAAUUGCCCAGGACCACACAGGCAGAAUCAGGACGUUAACCAGCACAGACUGAAUCUCGAGUCCACACUGUGCUGCAUGGCCACCCUCUGGAGGCCUGUGAUGUCCCCUCUGACUGCUGCCCUACAGCCAGCAGAGACGAUCACUGAACCCAGGCACUUGCACAGCCCAAUGCUGAAGAAGGCAGGUGUGGAUGCAUGAAUGAAAGGUGAAGGAGCAAAAUAUAUCUGUAUUUGUUGAUUUAUUCAUCUGCAACAAUAUAUUUGCUGAACGUGCCUCCUCAACUGGUGAACUGUAAUGGGGGAGGAGAAGACAAAAGAAGGCCAACUGGAAGAAAUGAAAAUGGUGUGUCUCCUUAAGGAGGUUGGAUCCCAGAGAAGGAAGAUAAUGGGAGAGAGAGAGGUGUGGCUUUUGUUGGGCUUCCUCCUAACUAUCCAUUUUGGUGAUGGCUGAGUGUGUCCUGAAGAGAAAGGAUUACAUGUAACUCAAACCUGAUCCACAAAACUUCUGUAGUCCAAGCAACUUCGUGUGAGACCCUUUAAAAGAGCAGACCACAAAGUUAGGAUGCAGUGGCUAUACAGCCGAGCUGACCACUGAGCACAGGAGACAGAGCCUUGGAACUCUCAGAGAUACUGGGGCGGGGAGGGGCUCGUAUUGUGAAGGGAGGACCAAAGUCCCACAGGGGCAUGCAGCUGGGCAAGCAAAAUCUGGUCUGCAGUCGUCCGUCUCACUUGGGUCUAAGGCUAAUGAGGCCUGGGGAACACUCACAAGGAGUCUAGUUAUGGCUCUGUAGUAGUUUACCCAUUGACUGAAGCAAAACAGUCUCCACAAGAGAUCCCAGGAGAAACAGAACAGCUGGCCAGGCUCACCUAGCUGGUCCCAUAACUUUUCCCACCAUCCUGCCAGGCAAACCUUGUCAUCUCAGCACCUGGAUCCAAGACACUUUGCUGCCAUGUUUCCUCACAUCUCAUCCUCUCUCCCUUCCUAGUCAGAAUUCCACAUUUGUCACUUUCUGACCUGCAUUUGACAACACUCAAUGUUGUCUUAUCCAAACAACAUCUAUGAUUCAGCCUUCUUGCCCUCAAGUCCAGCAUGUUCCCCUCUGGCUCCAAGCCCCUUUCCCUCCAGCCUUUUACAACCACAUCACUCCAUGUAAGUCACUUGUCCUUUGAACCAGCUGAUCUGUGGGCUGAGGAAAGGGUGCUGGGAGCUGAGCUGUAGAUGUUCUCUUUGCUGUCUGUCAUUCUAGGGGCUUGCCAACAUUGGGCAGAGUCUCCUGCUGGCUGAAACUCUCUCACCACAAAGGAUUUCAUUUUAUGUCAGCAGUUUCAUAGGCUGAGGGAGUGAUAGAGAUAAGAGAAACAUGAAGAGAAUAUGCCACAAUGACUAAACUCAAGAUAGAUUUGGGGCAGAGAUGUAGAGAUUUGGUAAAAGUCCAGAAAUCUAAAUGCUGGGUGUGCUUACUAAGUGUACCUGUGCAUUAAGCUAAGCAAAUGGAUUCCC
rnacentral:lncRNA from 10 species